AGAUAAUAGAUACCCGGGUAGUCCACGCUGUAAACGAUGGGUACUAGAUUUGGUGGGUCUUGACCCCCGCCGAAAUCGGCGCUAAACGCACUAAGUACCCCGCCCGGGAAGUACGGUCGCAAGACUAAAACUCAAAGGAAUUGACGGGGGCCCGCACAAGCGGUGGAUCAUGUGGUUUAAUUCGAAGCAAACGCGAAGAACCUUACCUGGAUUUGACAUCCUCUGACAACCCUAGAGAUAGGGCUUUCGUAGCAAUACGACAGAGAGACAGGUGCUGCAUGGCUGUCGUCAGCUCGUGUGGUGACAUGUUGGGUUAAGUCCCGCAACGAGCGCAACCCUUGUCCUUAGUUGCCAGCAUUAAGUUGGGCUCUCUAAGGAGACUGCCGUGGUUAACACGGAGGAAGGUGGGGAUGACGUCAAGUCCUCAUGGCCUUUAUAUCCAGGGCGACACACGUGAUACAAUGGAUGGUACAGAGGGAAGCGAAAGCGCGAGCUGGAGCCAAUCUCAAAAAGCCAUUCUCAGUUCGGAUUGGAGUCUGC
rnacentral:rRNA from 1 species